GACGAACGCUGGCGGCGUGCUUAACACAUGCAAGUCGUACGGUAAGGCCCUUUCGGGGGUCCACGAGUGGCGAACGGGUGAGUAACACGUGAGUAACCUGCCCACAACUUUGGGAUAACGCUAGGAAACUGGUGCUAAUACUGGAUAUGUGCCCCUGCUGCAUGGUGGGGGUUGGAAAGCUCCGGCGGCUGUGGAUGGACUCGCGGCCUAUCAGCUUGUUGGUGGGGUAGUGGCCUACCAAGGCGGCGACGGGUAGCCGGCCUGAGAGGGUGACCGGCCACAUUGGGACUGAGAUACGGCCCAGACUCCUACGGGAGGCAGCAGUGGGGAAUAUUGCACAAGGGGCGCAAGCCUGAUGCAGCAACGCCGCGUGCGGGAUGACGGCCUUCGGGUUGUAAACCGCGUUCAGCAGGGACGAAGCUUUUUGUGACGGUACCUGCAGAAGAAGCACCGGCUAACUACGUG
rnacentral:rRNA from 1 species